GAAGGUCGACUCCCAUCCUCCCCAUUGUAGCCUUCACCGCUGUCAUUCUGUAUCGGGCUUCGUUGGGAGGUGCUAGUCUGAGUUUGCUGAACAUGGGAGAGUGGUUGAGAACAUCCAUUCUGGAACUGGACUGGCUGGGUUCAAAAUCUAGGCUCAGAUCCACGACCGCACUCUGAUAAGUGACCUUGAGCAAGAUACUUUAACCUCUUUGAGCCUCAGUUUCUUCAUCUACAAAAUGAAAAUGAUGAUGGUACCGUGUGUGUGUGUGUGUGUGUGUGUGUGUUUGUGUGUGUGUGUGUGUGUGUGUGUGUGUGUGUGUGUGUGUGUGNNNNNNNNNNNNNNNNNUGCUGGAAACUUUCUGAGGGCUGGGUGGUUUUCAGGACAGUGUCACCUGAGUUGUCACUGCCUUGAUGAGUUCAUGUGUGGUUGAGUAGUCUAGAUAAUGGUAUAACAGCAAGACAAGUACCCACAUGAUGAUAUUUGUCUCCUUAUAAGAGAAAUCCUUGCUGGAGUUCCCGUUGUGGCUCAUCGCGUUAAGAAUCAGAUUAGCAUCCUUGAGCACGAGGGUUCGAUCCCUGGCCUCGCCCAGUGGAUUAAGGAUCCAGCGUUGCCAUGAACUGUUGAUGUAGGUCACAGACGCAGCUCAGAUCCCACGUUGCUGCAGCUCUGAUUCGACCCCUAGCCUGGAGCCUCCAUAUACCGCAGGCGCAGCCCUGAAAAGACAAAAACAAAAAAGAAAGAGAGAAAUACUUGCUUAUUGUAGAAACUUUGAAAAACAUAAAGGAAAAAUAGAAAGGAACCAUGAUCCCACAACUCAGAAAUAAUCACCAUUAACAUUUUGGUAUAUUUCUUUCCAGUCUUGUUUCUGUGUAGAUAGCUGUUUUCCUAUAAUUGGGACCACAGGCCAUAUUGCUGACUACAUGCCUUCCUAUAUCCCCCACUGACCUGGUUGUCUGUGAGAUGAGCAUUUCCAAUGCCAUUCGAAAGAAUAUUUUUUGAAAUAGGGUUACUAUUUGUUUCACUUUGUUUUACUGAUUGAAAAAUGAUACAUUGAGGGAGUCGAUUAAUAAAUUGGUAGUGUUUUUUUGGAGGAGGGUGUCUGUCCCAUUACAUAUUGUCACCAGUGUCUUGGGCGAUAACAUGGGUGGCAUGUGAUCAGCUGGCACCUUUGUGUGUUAUUUGUCUUGGUGUCACAUACAUUCCUGGGUCCAGAGCAGUUGUCCAUUCAUUCAUUCCACAAAUAUUUAUUGCGUGUCCAUUAUGUGCCAGGCAUUGUUCUGUGUACUUGGGCUUCAUCAGUGAACAAAAAGGCAAAAAUUCCUUUCCUUGUAUAGCCAGGGGCAGGACUUGUAGGGCAGACAGUAAUAAGCUAAGUUAUAAAGCUCGUUAAAAGGUGAUGAACAUGAUGGACCAAACAAAAAUAUGGAGCUGAGCUAGGAGGAUAGUACUGGAGAGGGGGCCGUAGUGCAGUUUUAAAUAGGAUGACCAGGGUCAGCCUCUCUGAGAAAGAAGCAUUUGACCAGGGACUUGAAGAUGAGGAUCUGGUGAUGUAACUAUCUGGGGAUGGGGUGGGGAGGGGGGAAGGGUGGGUACCAGCAGAGGAAACAGCCAAAGCAAAGAUCCUGGGACUAGAGCCUCUGAGAGUGUUUGAGGAAUAGCAGGACCAGUGUGGCUGCUGUAGAGAGUCAUUCUUUUUUUAUUUUUUUGGCCAUGGCUGUGGUAUCUGGAAGUUCCCAGGCUAGGGAUUGAAGCCAUAGCAGUUGACAAUGCCGGAUCCUUAACCUGCUGUGCCACAAGAGAGCUCCUGGAGGGCUGUAACAUAUGAUGUAAAUUUUAUAAAAUGUAAAUUCCAAGAGUUCCCUUUGUGGCUUAUCAGUUAAUGAACCCGACUAGAAUACAUGAGGAUGCAGGUUCAAUCCCUGGCCUCGCUCAGUGGGUUAAGGAUCUGGCAUUGCUAUGAGCUGUGGUAUAGGUCACAGACGUGGCUCGGAUCCUGUUUUGCUGUGGCUGUGGUGUAGACAAGUGGCUGCAGCCCCAAUUCAACCCCUAGCCUGGGAACCUCCAUAUGCCAUAGGUGCGGCCCUAAAAAGCAAAUAAAUAAAUAAAAAUAAAAUAAAAUGUAAAUUCCAGCUAGAACCAAGUGUGCUCUGAUGUUAAAAAAUCCUCUGCAGUGCAAGUCACCUCAAAUCCCUCUUGUUAGGAAACUGGGUGUGAACUAUAAAUAAAUUACACAAGUACAGGAGAAGAGAGAUAUGGCUUCUCUAUUACAGAUAUGCUGAAUCCAUUUAUUCAGCAUGUGUUUAUUGAAUGUCCAACCUGGGCUCGGCCUUGCUCUAGGUGUUGGGGAUUCAGAACAAGACAAAAUUGCUGCCUUCAGGAUGCUUGCAUUCUAGUGGGUGGAGACUCAUGCUUGGGCAAGCUCAGAGAUAUGAUGUGAUAUUGGGUGGUGAUAACUGCUGAAACCAAGAGCAGUGAACCAGGGUUCUCAAGAGAAAAAUCAAGUCGAGUCUAAAUUAAUUGAGUCACCUGUGUGUUGCAGUUGCCAAAAAGCCAAAUUCCAUCUGAGGCUGUGUGAACUGAAUGCCCAGCACCUAGCUUGGGUUCCCUCUGCCCUCAGAUUGUCAAGCUGGACCCAGAGUGUGGCAUCUACAUUCUAGAAGGACAUUGAGAAGUCUCAACUUGUUCAGGGGAGAAUGAUUAAGAUCACAGGGGUGGAAGUGCUGUAGCACCAUCCAGAAGACAGGACCAGGAUCUGUGGAUAUAGGUUUCAGGGAGGUAGGUUGAGGAAUUUUCUUAUGGUCCGGACUGACCAGUGAUGGAAUGGGCUGUGAGAGAGGAUGGGAGUCCAUCCUCCACAGUGCUUCAGAAGGGCCUGGAGGAGUUCUCACCGUGGUGCAACGGGACCUCCAGCAUCUCUAAAGCUCUGGGAUGCAGGUUCGAUCCCCCUGCGGGGCAGAGUGGGUUAAGGAUCUGGCAUUGCUGCCGCUGUGGCGCAGGUUGCAACUGUGGCUCAGAUCUGAACCUUGGUCUGGGAACUUCCAUAUGCCAUGGUGCAGCCGAAAAAAAGAGAAGAGCCUGGAUUCACCUAAGAGGGUAUCAUGAAUCUGGUGGAAGCUGGAUUCAAUCUGUACGGCUCCUUCAAGUUCCAGGUCAUAAUGUACAUGAGAAGAAGAAAGGAUUUUCUGCAUGUAACUUGCAGCAGAUAAUUUCAUAUCAGCCACAUAUUAUCUCCACAAUAGCCAACAACCACCAAGGGCUUAAGUAGCCUCUCAACAUGUGGAAAUCAGAAAUUCUGACAACUCUUUCACUCAUCACUUUAGUUAGGUUGGUGUCCAGAUCUGGGUGCCAGAAACU
rnacentral:lncRNA from 1 species